UACGGGGGGUGCGAGCGUUGUCCGGAAUCACUGGGCGUAAAGGGCGCGUAGGUGGCCUGAUAAGGGUGUGGUGAAAGCCCGGGGCUCAACUCCGGAAUUGCCUUUAAGACUGCAUCGCUAGAAUUGUGGAGAGGUAAGUGGAAUUCCGAGUGUAGAGGUGAAAUUCGUAGAUAUUCGGAAGAACACCAGUGGCGAAGGCGACUUACUGGACACAUAUUGACGCUGAGGUGCGAAAGCGUGGGGAGCAAACAGG
rnacentral:rRNA from 1 species